GCUAGAAUAAGUUCAUAAAUAUUUCCUACCUUUCCUAUAGGUCAGCCUUUCCCUUCUUGAUUUAAUUAGUAAUUUUAAAAACUGAUAGUUUUGCCAUUUGGGGGGGUCUUUUGCCAUUUGGGAGGCUGAGGCAUGAUUGUAAAUUGAAGCCCAGCCUGGGCAAGUUAGUGAAACUCUGUCUCAAAACAAAAAAUAAAUAAUAAAAAUAAAAAAUAAAAGGGUGCAAGUGUAGCUCAGAGGUAAGGCCCUGGGUUCAAGCUCCAUUUCCACACAAAAAUAAUCCAGCCUCAGCCAUAAUUUAUAAGAAAAACCAACUUAUUCAGGAGACAGUAUACUCAAGAAUCCGCCAAAGAGAACAUUUACAAAGUGACAAAUCAGUAAAGUACUGGCAGUUGGACCAAAGGCCUCAAGCAUGCUAGGCAAGCACUCUGCAACUGAGCUAUGUACCUCCCAAAGAACUGACCUUUUUUGGUUAGAAGAAAAAAAUGUUUGAAGUUCCUGCAUCAGCAAUACCAGAAAUCUGAGCUUACUAAUAAUGACAUUAUGCUUGUACAUGAUAAAACUAUAGAUGAAGAGCUGAAGUGUGUAUUCAG
rnacentral:lncRNA from 1 species